ANCGCGNCUANCAUGCAGUCGACGAUGAUCUCCAGCUUGCUGGGGGGAUUAGUGGCGAACGGGUGAGUAACACGUGAGUAACCUGCCCUUGACUCUGGGAUAAGCCUGGGAAACUGGGUCUAAUACUGGAUACGACCUUCCAUCGCAUGGUGGUUGGUGGAAAGCUUUUGUGGUUUUGGAUGGACUCGCGGCCUAUCAGCUUGUUGGUGGGGUAAUGGCCUACCAAGGCGACGACGGGUAGCCGGCCUGAGAGGGUGGACGGCCACACUGGGACUGAGACACGGCCCAGACUCCUACGGGAGGCAGCAGA
rnacentral:rRNA from 1 species